rnacentral:rRNA from 1 species
ANACNUGCAGUUGACGAGANUAGUUUUAGCAAUAGAACUAGUUUAGUGGCGCACGGGUGCGUAACGCGUAUGCAACCUACCUUAAACAGGGGAAUAGCCUCUCGAAAGAGAGAUUAAUACCGCAUAACAUAUAUUUAGAGCAUUCUAGAUAUAUCAAACCUACGGGGGUUUAAGAUGGGCAUGCGUGACAUUAGCUAGUUGGUGAGGUAACGGCUCACCAAGGCAACGAUGUCUAGGGGGUCUGAGAGGAUGUCCCCCCACACUGGUACUGAGACACGGACCAGACUCCUACGGGAGGCAGCAGUAGGGAAUAUUGGUCAAUGGAGGCAACUCUGAACCAGCCAUGCCGCGUGCAGGACUAAGGCCCUAUGGGUCGUAAACUGCUUUUGAAUGGGAAGAAAUGUAUCUACGUGUAGAUAUUUGACGGUACCAUUAGAAUAAGGAUCGGCUAACUUCGUGCCAGCAGCCGCGGUAAUACGAAGGAUCCAAGCGUUGUCCGGAUUUACUGGGUUUAAAGGGUGCGUAGGCGGACUCAUAAGUCAGUGGUGAAAGCCUUCAGCUUAACUGAAGAACUGCCAUUGAAACUGUGAGUCUCGAGUUCGGUUGAGGUCAUUGGAAUGUAACAUGUAGCGGUGAAAUGCAUAGAUAUGUUACAGAACACCAAUUGCGAAGGCAGAUGACUAAACCGAAACUGACGCUGANGCACGAAAGCGUGGGGAUCAAACAGGAUUAGAUACCCUGGUAGUCCACGCCCUAAACGUUGAAUACUCGACCUUAGCGAUAUACAGUUAGGGUCCAAGCGAAAGCGUUAAGUAUUCCACCUGGNAAGUACGUUCGCAAGAAUGAAACUCNAAAGGAAUUGACGGGGGCCCNCACAAGCGGAGGANCAUGUGGUUUAAUUUCGAUGANACGCGAG